rnacentral:lncRNA from 1 species
AGAGAUUAAAUAUCCAGCACGCAACCGCGCUGUUGCCAGAUUUACAUAUUUUCUAUAAGCGGGAAUUUUAAAAUCUCGAAUGCGAGUUGGUUUAAAAUUUGACAGUUGUGUUUUCUCGAAUCGGAAUCUUAACCUUACUUUUGUGAUUAUUUAUUUACAAAUAUGUAAAUAAAUUCAAACAAGUAUUGUAUGUACCUACUGUGUUAUAAUUUAAAACUCUUAAUUAUGUUAGUCUUUAAAAAAAAUGAAGCCCACAAAAAUACACUUGUUUACAGUGCAAAUGAUUUUUUAAUGGAAAUAGGGAUUUAGGAUUUCAUUUGCAGGAAAAACAUGGGCAACCUACCCAGUUCGUAAAAUUGCAAUUCAAAAACUCUUUAGAUUUUACUGUCUGGAUGGCACAGGAAGAGACACAAAAUAAUAUUCAGUACUGCAGUCACAGGAGUACAUAGAGUACGUAGAGAUAUAAGAAAACAGCUGUUCAACAUCACCUGACACCGUUUAGUUUUUAGAAAAUGAAAAGUCUUUAGGUUGAAUGCGAUCUGCAGUAUCUUGCAUUGCUACAUAAUGAAUGUGUUUAUAUAUGGUAUUUUUUAUUGAAUAAUCUAUACAGGAACAACUAAAUGAAUGUAUACAUAUAUUGCAGACAUUGCAUUUAGUUUUUUAGAGCAGCAAGUUUUUUUGUGUUUCAACAAGGUAUUCAGUUUUUUUUUUCUUUUAGUAUAUACACAUUAUUAUCUUGUAAAAUAGCAAGCUAAUACAGUUCGGUAUCUAGACGUUAUGGAGCAUUCAACAGGUUUACCUUUUUUAAGCUUUAUAACCCUUUCAACAGUUUUAUUCCUUAAAAACAAUAACAACUGAUUUUCAAUGGUCAUAUUAUUGGUAUUUUAAUUCCAUAAUCCUUCCUAUAACAAUAGGUGCAUUGUUGGAAGUUAUUACAGUAGUUCUGCUGGAAAUACUUACCAAAAUUGUAUGUAUCUGCAUCAUUUAGAAUUUUACCCAAACACCUAUUAAUACUCUAUCUGAAUCUAACAUGUAUUGCAGCUCUUUCAAUGUCUUGUAUACAUAGGAUUUUUUCAGAAUCAGAUAUUUCAUUAAGAUUUACUUGCCAUGCCUUGUCUAUGUACCAGGGACAUAACAGUCUAUUAGGAACAGAACCCAUUACAUUCAGGCAUUGUAAAAAGUGUUAGUUAUGUCUGAUAUGAAAACAUUUGACUAUAUAAUACCAGCACACUCAUGUAUUUUUUCAAAAAAAGUUGGUAAAUAAAAGUAUUUUUUAUGAGCCCACGAGUUCCAUUAGUUGCGAUAAGCGAUUUACCAAACUUAAUUAAUAUUUCCUUUUGCACAGUAUUCAUGGAAACACAUAAGACAAAAAUCAUUAUUGUUUAAUUCGGGAGGAUUAUCAAUAAUUGAAUCGUUUAUUUCAGAAAGGGGUCAAGUCACAAGUAUCCACUUUUGAGAAAAUAAAGUUUACACACUGUUUACAUUCAACAAACAAUCACAUUAUAUAAAAUAAAAAUUCUACCUAGCAACCUGGAGUAUUUGUUAAAAAAUGUUGUAUUUUUUAAAAAUGUAUCUUGUUAAAUUGUU